GAUGAACGCUGGCGGCGUGCCUAAUACAUGCAAGUCGAACGAAACUUCUUUAUCACCGUGUGCUUGCACUCACCGAUACAGAUUUGAGUGGCGAACGUGUCAUUAACACGUGUGCAACCUGCCUUAAAGAGGGUGAUACCACUUGGAAACAGGUGCUACUGCUGCAUAACCAUGGUUACCGCAUUUUAACGGUGUAAAAUGUGCCUGUGCUACCUCUUUUGGUUGGUCGCGCGGCGCAUUAGCUAGUUGUUAGGGUAAAGGCUUACCAAGGCAAUGAUGCGUAGACGAAGUGAGAGGCUGAUAGGCCACAUGAGGACUGAGACACGGACCAAACGACUACGGGAGGCAGCAGUAGGGAAUCUGCCACAGUGGGCGAAAGCAUGAUGGAGCGACGCCACGUGGGUGAAGAAGGUGUUCGGAGCGUAAAACCCUGUUGUUAGAGAUGAAAGGGCGUGGGAGGAAAUGUUCACGGUGUGACGGUAACUAACCAGAAAGCCACGGCUAACUACGUG
rnacentral:rRNA from 1 species